rnacentral:rRNA from 1 species
GACGAACGCUGGCGGCGUGCUUAACACAUGCAAGUCGAACGCUGAAGCCCUUUCGGGGGUGGAUGAGUGGCGAACGGGUGAGUAACACGUGGGUAAUCUGCCCUGUACUUCGGGAUAAGCCUUGGAAACGGGGUCUAAUACCGGGUAGGACCUGUCCUCGCAUGGGGGUGGGUGGAAAGUUCCGGCGGUAUGGGAUGAGCCCGCGGCCUAUCAGCUUGUUGGUGGGGUAGUGGCCUACCAAGGCGACGACGGGUAGCCGGCCUGAGAGGGUGACCGGUCACACUGGGACUGAGACACGGACCAGACUCCUACGGGAGGCAGCAGUGGGGAAUCUUGCGCAAUGGGCGAAAGCCUGACGCAGCAACGCCGCGUGGGGGAUGACGGCCUUCGGGUUGUAAACCUCUGUCGACAUCGACGAAGGGGCCCUGUUGUGGGGUUUUGACGGUAGGUGUAGAAGAAGCACCGGCUAACUACGUGCCAGCCGCCGCGGUAA